GUUUCAGAAUAUUCAACGAAUGCUUAGCGGUGCCUCCCGGCAGGAAACUACGGGAUGAGCAGGGGGUUAACUCAGGGAAACCUGUUCGGAGCAAAUGGCCCCGAUGGCAAUCCUGAGCCAAGCCGGGGAACGGUCAUGAAAGUACCCGGAAGGUGCAGAGACUAGGAAGUGAGCAGACCAUGCAAUACGCUUUCACCAACGCCCCCCACCUACCCUUGCCCCACCAGGCGAGCACGGUGAUGAGAUAGUCCAACUACUUCGGGAAACCGGAGG
rnacentral:ncRNA from 1 species